rnacentral:rRNA from 1 species
GACGAACGCUGGCGGCGUGCUUAACACAUGCAAGUCGAACGGUAAGGCCCUUCGGGGUACACGAGUGGCGAACGGGUGAGUAACACGUGGGUGAUCUGCCCUGCACUUCGGGAUAAGCCUGGGAAACUGGGUCUAAUACCGGAUAGGACCACUGCCUGCAGGGGUGGUGGUGGAAAGCUGUUGCGGUGUGGGAUGGGCCCGCGGCCUAGCAGCUUGUUGGUGGGGUGAUGGCCUACCAAGGCGACGACGGGUAGCCGGCCUGGGGGGGUGACCGGCCACAGUGUGCCGGAGAUACGGCCCAGACUCCUACGGGGGGCAGCAGUGGGGAAUGUUGCACAAUGGGCGCAAGCGUGAUGCAGCGACGCCGCGUGAGGGAUGACGGCCUUCGGGUUGUAAACCUCUUUCAGCACCGACGAAGCGCAAGUGACGGUAGGUGCAGAAGAAGGACCGGCCAACUACGUGCCAGCCGCCGCCGUAA